AGUGAACGCUGGCGGUAGGCCUAACACAUGCAAGUCGAACGGCAGCACAGUAAGAGCUUGCUCUUACGGGUGGCGAGUGGCGGACGGGUGAGGAAUACAUCGGAAUCUACUUUUUCGUGGGGGAUAACGUAGGGAAACUUACGCUAAUACCGCAUACGACCUACGGGUGAAAGCAGGGGAUCUUCGUACCUUGCGCGAUUGAAUGAGCCGAUGUCGGAUUAGCUAGUUGGCGGGGUAAAGGCCCACCAAGGCGACGAUCCGUAGCUGGUCUGAGAGGAUGAUCAGCCACACUGGAACUGAGACACGGUCCAGACUCCUACGGGAGGCAGCAGUGGGGAAUAUUGGACAAUGGGCGCAAGCCUGAUCCAGCCAUACCGCGUGGGUGAAGAAGGCCUUCGGGUUGUAAAGCCCUUUUGUUGGGAAAGAAAAGCAGCAGGUUAAUACCCCGCUGUUCUGACGGUACCCAAAGAAUAAGCACCGGCUAACUUCGU
rnacentral:rRNA from 1 species